AGACGUCUACAUUAGAUACCCCUCGUAGUCCCAGCCGUAAACGAUGCGCGUUAGGUGUAUCGACGACCACGAGUCGUCGAGGUGCCGAAGGGAAACCGUGAAACGUGCCGCCUGGGAAGUACGGUCGCAAGGCUGAAACUUAAAGGAAUUGGCGGGGAGCACCACAACGGGUGGAGCCUGCGGUUUAAUUGGACUCAACGCCGGGAAGCUCACCGGAUAAGACAGCGGAAUGAUUGCCGGGCUGAAGACUCUGCAUGACUAGCUG
rnacentral:rRNA from 1 species